CAAGGAGUGGAACUAUGGAGGUGUGUUUCUGCCUUGAGGAUAAUGGAUUGAACAUCUGAACCUGAGAAGCAGUGCACUGAUAUGUCACAAUGGAUUUUCAUACAGCCAUCCAGAGAACUACGGCUGAGCUAAAAAGCACCAGCAAAACUAUGUUACACAGUGCUAACAACUUACAUGAUAACAAGGUACCUAUGUGAAAUCAAGAAUCAAGAACUGAUGUCCCAGAGUACUGGAAUACCAAGAGAGUGACUUUAACAGAAACAUGAGUAGCUUUAUUUACCAUAUACACAAAGUACUUUUAAACUAUGAGCUUAAUAAAGAAGAAUAAUUCACCA